AUGUCACAAUUGUUUUGGUUGACGUUGCAGCCAGCCAGUACUCACUCACACCAGCACCACAUAGGCCUAUUAAUUUCUUUUUCUUUUGGCCCUGUCACACUCUUCACAAAGAAGAGCUACGUAGCUUGGAUGUUCUGUACACGACACACAGAAAAUAAACCUCAAUUCAAGUUGGCGAAAGAAGGAGAUUUUGGGUUAUUUGUGAUCACCAUUGGAACAAGGUUUCUGCAAAGUGUCAUUGGUAAAUGUAUCACAGGCUUUCUCAGAUCCUGCUUCAGUAUUUUUAUUUCACAAAAAGUUUCAUGUAUAAGACUAGUUGGUGUAAAUUUAUAG